rnacentral:lncRNA from 1 species
GCAGGGCUCGCGGGGCGGCGGUGGUGGCCAAGUACGGGGAGAAGAGCGUCUACUUCGACCUGGACGACAUCGCCAACACGACGGGGCAGUGGGACCUGUACGGCAGCGACGCCGCGUCGCCCUACAACGGCCUGCAGAGCAAGUUCUUCAACACCUUCGCCGCGCCCUUCACCAAGCGGGGGCUGCUGCUCAAGGUGCUGCUGCUCGGCGGCGGCUCGCUGCUCGCCUACGUCAGCGCCACCGCCUCCCCCGACCUGCUCCCCAUCAAGAAGGGGCCCCAGCUGCCGCCCACCCCGGGACCACGCGGCAAGAUCUAAAGCUCUGCAAUCAAGGCCUUCUUCCUCCUCCCGCCUCGCCUCGUGCUUGUGUACCAUGGAUCUCGUCGAUUCCCCCCUUAUCUAUGUGCUUGCUCUGUUGAUACUUGAUCUUUGUACUUUGUAUCAGUAAUUGGAAAGAUGCUGCGUGCAUGGUGCAUGCAAUUAUUAGAUCAUGGUUUUUGUACCAUGUUUUUGCUAUACUGGCGGUUUAAAUUACUUGUCACUCUAGCCAAUACGUAUUGUCCGGCCGGCCGGCCUACUCACGGCUCUACGUGCACAGCUGCACACGUACAUACUCCCU